UGGGGAAUAUUGGACAAUGGAGGGAACUCUGAUCCAGCAAUUCUGUGUGCACGAAGAAGGUUUUCGGAUUGUAAAGUGCUUUCAGUUGGGAAGAAGUAAGUGACGGUACCAACAGAAGAAGCGACGGCUAAAUACGUGCCAGCAGCCGCGGUAAUACGUAUGUCGCGAGCGUUAUCCGGAAUUAUUGGGCAUAAAGGGCAUCUAGGCGGUUAUGCAAGUCAGGGGUGAAAACUUACGGCUCAACCGUGAGCUUGCCUUUGAAACUGUGUGACUAGAGUACUGGAGAGGUGGGCGGAACUACACGAGUAGAGGUGAAAUUCGUAGAUAUGUGUAGGAAUGCCGAUGAUGAAGAUAGCUCACUGGACAGAAACUGACGCUGAAGUGCGAAAGCUAGGGGAGCGAACAGGAUUAGAUACCCUGGUAGUCCUAGCUGUAAACGAUGAUCACUGGGUGUGGGCAUGAGGAGUGUCUGUGCCGAAGCGAAUGCGAUAAGUGAUCCGCCUGGGGAGUACGACCGCAAGGUUG
rnacentral:rRNA from 1 species